rnacentral:rRNA from 1 species
UACAGAGGUCUCAAGCGUUGUUCGGAUUCAUUGGGCGUAAAGGGCGCGUAGGCGGCGUAACAAGUCACUUGUGAAAUCUCCGGGCUUAACUCGGAGCGGUCAAGUGAUACUGUUGUGCUAGAGUGCGGAAGGGGCUACUGGAAUUCUCGGUGUAGCGGUGAAAUGCGUAGAUAUCGAGAGGAACACCUGCGGCGAAGGCGGGUAGCUGGGCCGACACUGACGCUGAAGCGCGAAAGCUAGGGGAGCGAACGGG